rnacentral:rRNA from 1 species
GAUGAACGCUGGCGGCGUGCCUAAUACAUGCAAGUCGAGCGAACGGACGAGAAGCUUGCUUCUCUGAUGUUAGCGGCGGACGGGUGAGUAACACGUGGAUAACCUACCUAUAAGACUGGGAUAACUUCGGGAAACCGGAGCUAAUACCGGAUAAUAUUUUGAACCGCAUGGGUCAAAAGUGAAAGACGGUCUUGCUGGCACUUAUAGAUGGAUCCGCGCUGCAUUAGCUAGUUGGUAAGGUAACGGCUUACCAAGGCAACGAUGCAUAGCCGACGGCAGAGGGUGAUAGGCCACCUGAGAAGGUGGCCGGCGACCAGACUACUAAGGGACGCAGCAGUAGGGAAUGUUACGCAGUAGGGGGGAACAUGACGGAGCAGCCCGGAGUGAGUGGUGGAGGUCUUGGGAUCGUAAUGCUCUGUUAUGAGUGAUGAACAUAUGUGUCAGUAACUGAGCACAUAUUGACGGUACCUAAUCAGAAAGCAACGGCUAACUACGUG